rnacentral:rRNA from 1 species
CACACGACUCUCGGCAACGGAUAUCUCGGCUCUCGCAUCGAUGAAGAACGUAGCGAAAUGCGAUACCUGGUGUGAAUUGCAGAAUCCCGCGAACCAUCGAGUCUUUGAACGCAAGUUGCGCCCGAGGCCAUUCUGCCAAGGGCACGCCUGCCUGGGCGUCACGC